CCUCGGAGAAGGUGAAGGGCGUGGCGUCGUGACUCAGGCCGUGCAGGGCGCCCGACUUGCCCGCCAUGCUCUCGAUGAGCAUGCCGAUGGUCAUGCGCGAGGGGAAGCCGUGGGGGUUGAAGAGGAUGUCCGGACUCAUGCCGCUCUCGCUGAAGGGCAUGUCCUCGGGCGGCCACAGGCGGCUCAGGAUGCCCUUUUGGCCGUGGCGGCUGGCGAACUUGUCCCCGAUGACCGGGUUCCUGGGCACGCGCACCGUGAUGCACACGCGCUUGAAGGGCCCCGUGCCCGCGUCGUUGCUGCACACCUUGAUGUUGUCCACCACGCACGCCUCCUGGCUCCUGGAGGAGACCACAUGCAUUAACACCUUAUAAUGGGACUGUCCCUCCAGAAACUAGGUGGAGGAGAGAAAAAAACAAUUCACACCCGAAGCGAGAUUUAUAAUUUUCAAAAUCUUUAUAUUUUUAAGAACGGCAGCCAAGUGGAGCGUUUGUAACAAAACAAACAUAUUUUAGUACCAAAAAAAAAAACCUAAUCACGAACAUUGCGAUUAAAUCAAAAAACCUAACCCUAAAACUAAAAAUCGCACUCUAGCGCCCCGUAGGAAUAAAACAGACAAAACUGCUCCUAGGAAGAAAACACAGACAAAACUGCCUGUAACUUCCAGUAGGAAUGUCGUAGAGACAUUAACAAAAACCACUAUGUAGGUCUCACUUAGACCUACAUUUCAUAUAGUGACAACCCCCAGCAAAAAUCAACAGGAAGUUUGCAAUCCCCCCUUCAAAACAAAACUUUUGUAAACACCGGUCAACUUUUUUCAAACAUUAUCUCCUCUGAGGGCGUUUGUCGUGUUGGCUUCAAACUAGCACUGGAGAGAGAUUGAACCCUUCUGAUUAAAAGUUGAUGAAAGAGUUUUAAUUACUGCUACGGUUUUGAUUUCAUCAGCGUUCAACGAACCGCUGCGCUAAAAACUAUUUCAAAGAUGGCCGCCGUGCGCAGACAGUGAGGGAGACAUUUCUUUUCCUUAUUUUUCUCCAUACCGUCUGCUGCUGUUGCGCACGCACCAACAUUCGUGAAGGAGGGGCUGUGAUCGUCUAUACCAAGAUGGCUGCCAGGUGCCGUAGCUAAGCCGGUGCCGACCAUCAGGGCCGAGUUGCGACGAGAGAGUGUGUCGAUGUUAAGAUAUUACGCCAAGUUGGCUUGCAGACGUGAAAGAAAAUGUCAACAAGGUACCUGCUCAAAGGUCCCAAUCAGCUCGGGUUGUCCCAGAGUCACGUUGUGGACGGGCCGCACCAUGCGGCACGGCGUGGUGAAGAGGAAGAGACCCGGGUACAAGCUGGCUUUGUCGCUCUUGGGGAUUAGAACAAUCUCAGUCCAGGGAUGCACCUUCUUCUCCUUCAGCACCUGCCAGAACCCCGACGUCAGUCCGAGUCCUCCGUCACCUCGCCCCCGUGCGGCUCGGCCUACCUUGAACGUCCGCAGUGAAUCCACCACGCCGGGGGCUAACUCCGCCUCCACCCAGCCCACCACGGCGCCGUCCAGAACCACGGGGUAGCAGUCCGAAUAGGCCUGGCCGGGAACGCCGUCCACCGGUGUGACACCUUGACAACAAGGCUGAGAUGAGACAGGAAGGAGGAGGAGGAGGAGGAGGCGGGCGCUCACCGAGGGAACACAGCAGGGUGGGCAGCGUCAGCGUGGGCAGCGACUGCACCACGAUCUCGCAGCUGGCCGUCAUGUGGUUCAUGAGGCCGCACGGCUCCCCGUCCGGGGUGUGGACCGGGCACAGGAAGCCCCAGGACUCCGGCAGCAGCUUCCUGACGGAGGUGGUCCUCAUCUUGGCGAAGGCGGCGCCUCUGUGCACGCAGCGGAAGUGCGAGAGGUAGCGGAUGAAGUUGAGCUUGUCGGCCACCACGCAGAGCCCCGUGCUCUGCAGCAUGCCCAGACCUGGGUGGGGGGGUAUGUUACACCGCCUUUUACCUUCUGCUACUAUUGGAGCUUUGUGUGUGUCGGACAACACCCAUAUCAGCAUGAGUCAUAGUAGGGUUGGACGCUGUACUAGAAUACUGCUGCGAUACUAAUCUAUCUUAUUCUGUACUAUACCCCUGCUUUUACAAGCAGAGGAGCAAGUUCGGCAGCGCACGCGCACAGAGUACUUACAAGCAGACACAGUGUGUGGACAGAAAAGGGAGAAUGGACGCAUUUUGGUGUAAAAAGUCAAGAUAAAGGUAAGUUAUAACACUGAAACACCCUCAGGUAGAGCUGCUUUAACACAUGGCUAGCUAGUUAGCGGCUAACAUCCAUCCACAGUGUUUUAGCUACUUCUAAAUCACUAUCCAAUCCAAUCCACUUUAUUUAUAUAGCACAUUUAAACAACAAUAACGUUUCCAAAGUGCUGCACAGCCAUGUUAAAAACAAUAUUAUGCUCCACCAAUGACUGAAUAAAACAAAAAAUGAAUAAAAAUAAAACCAAUAAAAACAAUAUAAAAACAAAUAUGAUUAAAAACUAUUUUAAAGGGUAAAAUCAAUUAAAAUAGUAAAAUAGAAAUCAAAGUGUAUAAAAAACACAGAGGACAACAGAGGACCACACAACUCACGUAGUGUUAAAAGCCAAAGAAUAAAAGUGGGUCUUAAGAUGAGACUUAAAACACUCCACUGUGGAAGCAGUUUGAACAUGGAGGGGCAGAGUGUUCCAGAGCUUAGGGCCGACCACAGAGAAGGCCCUGUCUCCCCUGGUCUUAAGUCUGGUCUUGGGCACCACGAGCUGGAGCUGGCUCUCGGACCUCAGAGCGCGCGCAGGAAUGUAAAUUUGAAUGAGGUCCGAUAUCCUAAUCCUUAUCUCCAUGGCGACAAAGUAAGUUUCUUAAAUGGAGGUCGAGGAAUAGUUCAACAUACUUCACUACACACCGUAGGAGGAUACAAUAGCUUGAAAAUUAACUUUUACCUUGAAAAUCUAAACUUUUACCUUGAAAAUCAAAACUUUUACCUUGAAAAUCAAAACAUUUACCUUGAAAAUCAAAACAUUUACCUUAAAUAAUUUUUUGUCUUGAAAAAUCAUAAAGUACUAGACUGCCUCUAAAAACGUGUCAUCAUCAUGUGGUGACAUUACUAGUUCUACGAGCAGAGGAGCAUGUUCGGCAGCGCACGCGCACAGAGUACUUACAAGCAGACACAGUGUGUAGACAAAAGGGAGAAUGGACGAAUUUUGGUGUAAAAAGUCAAGAUAAAGGUGAAAUUAUCAACACUGAAACACCCUCAGGAAGAGCUGCUUUAACACAUGGCUAGCUAGUUAGCGGCUAACAUCCAUCCACAGCUAAUUCUAAAUCACUAAUCCUUAUCUCCAUGGCGACAAAUAAAGUAAGUUUCUUACAUGGAGGAUGAGGAAUAGCUAAACAUGCUUCACUACACACCGUAGGAGGAUACAAUAGCUUGAAAAUUAACUUUUACCUUGAAAAUAAUUUCUUGUCCUGAAAAUCAAUUUUUACCUUAAAAAAUUUUUGUCUUGAAAAUCAUCUUUUACCUUGAAAAUCUAAACUUUUACCGGUGCCUUAAAUAUUUUUUUGUCUUGAAAAAUCAUAUACGGUACUAGACUGCCUCAAAAAACGUGUCAUCGUCAUGUGGUGACAUUGCUGGUUUUACGAGCAGAGGAGCAUGUUCGGCAGCGCACACACACAGAGUACUUACAAGCAGACACAGUGUGUAGACAGAAAAGGGAGAACGGACGCAUUUUGGUGUAAAAAGACAAGCUAAAGGUAAAGUUAUAACACUGAAACACCCUCAGGAAGAGCUGCGUCCAGCCGCAGUCGGCAGUGUUUUAGCUACGUCUAAAUCACUAAUCCUUGUCUCCAUGGCGACAAAUAAAGUAAGUUUCUUACAAGUACCAUUAUCACUGGAGGACGAGCAAUAGCUAAACAUGCUUUACUACACAGCGUAGGAGGAUACAAUAGGUCACCGCCAUCAAAAUGUAAACAAAUGCCAUGGGUGGAUCUACACCUGACAUCCACUAUGAUGAUACCAAGUACAAUAGUGUAUGUAGUCAAUACUACUAUGAUUACGUCACUUUUUUUUGGCAUCAAAAUCUUUUUUCAUUUUAAAAAAAUCUAUAUUAUGUUUAUAAAGUGAGGAAAUACAUCCCUGGACA